GAUGGCAGCUUUAGGCCGCUCGAUGAAGCAGGAACCCACCGAAACGACUCAGACCCUGGUUUGAGCGUAGUAGGAAUCCUCGCCCUUUAGGGCGGGGAGGAUGUCAAUGAUGUAC
rnacentral:misc_RNA from 1 species